rnacentral:rRNA from 1 species
GACGAACGCUGGCGGCGUGCUUAACACAUGCAAGUCGAACGAAGAGCGAUGGAAGCUUGCUUCUAUCAAUCUUAGUGGCGAACGGGUGAGUAACGCGUAAUCAACCUGCCCUUCAGAGGGGGACAACAGUUGGAAACGACUGCUAAUACCGCAUACGAUCUAAUCUCGGCAUCGAGGAUAGAUGAAAGGUGGCCUCUACAUGUAAGCUAUCACUGAAGGAGGGGAUUGCGUCUGAUUAGCUAGUUGGAGGGGUAACGGCCCACCAAGGCGAUGAUCAGUAGCCGGUCUGAGAGGAUGAACGGCCACAUUGGGACUGAGACACGGCCCAGACUCCUACGGGAGGCAGCAGUGGGGAAUCUUCCGCAAUGGACGAAAGUCUGACGGAGCAACGCCGCGUGAGUGAUGACGGCCUUCGGGUUGUAAAGCUCUGUUAAUCGGGACGAAAGGCCUUCUUGCGAACAGUUAGAAGGAUUGACGGUACCGGAAUAGAAAGCCACGGCUAACUACGAG